CACUGCUAAACUACGUUUCAACCAAAACCCAACUAGACACUGCCGUCUGAUUAAGUUCGGUACAACACUUCAUACGAAGAAACGCAAAAAUAUCGUUCUUCAAAAGCAAAUUUUCAAACCACGAACACGCUAUACGCUUUUACUAGGCCGUGAAGUCGAGAAUACAGUAAGACAAAAGAAAAUCCACCCCCUUUAAUGGGUAAAUAUUCAAAUAACAAUCAUUACACGUUUCAUAUUUCUACCACGCAUAAUAGGAACAAUGCCUUACAUGUGUACACGGGUUUAAAGUCGUUCCAGCGUGCAAUGAAAUCCAAUCGACAUUAUAUUAUGAUAUAGUAGGGUAAUAUACAGAGUUAGUACCUAUAGAAAAUAAUGAUGUAAAUACUAAUAUCGAGUAUUCUAUUAACAAUGGAUAAAGGGUACAAAAAUGAC